UCCCAGCCCGCUCAGAAACUCGAAAGGAAGUUCGACGGGGGCCCGCACGAAAGCGGUGGAGCAUGUGGUUAAUUCGAAGCAACGCGCAGAACUUACCAGCCCUUGACAUCCCGGUCGCGGGUACCAGAGAUUGGAACCCUUCAGUUCGGCUGGACCGGAGACAGGUGCUGCAUGGCUGUCGUCAGCUCGUGUCGUGAGAUGUUGGGUUAAGUCCCGCAACGAGCGCAACCCUCGCCCUUAGUUGCCAUCAUUAAGUUGGGCACUCUAAGGGGACUGCCGGUGAUAAGCCGGAGGAAGGUGGGGGAUGACGUCAAGUCCUCAUGGCCCUUACGGGCUGGGCUACACACGUGCUACAAUGGCGGUGACAGAGGGACGCAAAGGAGCAAUCCUUCGCAAAUCUCAAAAAGCCGUCUCAGUUCGGAUUGGGGUCUGCAACUCGACCCCAUGAAGUUGGAAUCGCUAGUAAUCGCAGAUCAGCACGCUGCGGUGAAUACGUUCCCGGGCCUU
rnacentral:rRNA from 1 species